GAUAAGAACGUAGCGAAAUGCGAUAAGUAGUGUGAAUUGCAGAAUUCAGUGAAUCAUCGAAUCUUUGAACGCACAUUGCGCCCCUUGGUAUCCCGAGGGGCAUGCCUGUUCGAGCGUCAUUUCACCACUCAAGCCUGGCUUGGUGUUGGGCGACGUCCCCUUUGGGGACGCGCCUCGAAACGCUCGGCGGCGUGGCACCGGCUUUAAGCGUAGCAGAAUCUUUCGCUUUGGAAGUCGGGGCCCCGUCUGCCGGAAGACCUACUCGCAAGGUUGACCUCGGAUCAGGCAGGGAUACCCGCUGAACUUAAGCAUAUCAAUAAGCGGAGGA
rnacentral:misc_RNA from 1 species